rnacentral:rRNA from 1 species
GACGAACGCUGGCGGCGUGCCUAAUACAUGCAAGUAGAACGCACAGUUUAUACCGUAGCUUGCUACACCAUAGACUGUGAGUUGCGAACGGGUGAGUAACGCGUAGGUAACCUGCCUGGUAGCGGGGGAUAACUAUUGGAAACGAUAGCUAAUACCGCAUAAUAUUAAUUAUUGCAUGAUAAUUAAUUGAAAGGUGCAAUUGCACCACUACCAGAUGGACCUGCGUUGUAUUAGCUAGUAGGUGAGGUAACGGCUCACCUAGGCGACGAUACAUAGCCGACCUGAGAGGGUGAUCGGCCACACUGGGACUGAGACACGGCCCAGACUCCUACGGGAGGCAGCAGUAGGGAAUCUUCGGCAAUGGACGAAAGUCUGACCGAGCAACGCCGCGUGAGUGAAGAAGGUUUUCGGAUCGUAAAGCUCUGUUGUAAGAGAAGAACGGGUGUGAGAGUGGAAAGUUCACACUGUGACGGUAUCUUACCAGAAAGGGACGGCUAACUACG